AGCAGCCGCGGUAAUUCCAGCUCCAAUAGCGUAUAUUAAAGUUGUUGCAGUUAAAAAGCUCGUAGUUGAAUUUCGGGGUCAGCAGGUCGGUCGUGCCACUGGUAUGAACUGGUCUCGCUGAUCCCUCCCUCUUGACGAACUGUGAUGCCACUAAUUUGGUGUCGCAGGGAAUCAGGACUGUUACUUUGAAAAAUUAGAGUGUUUAAAGCAGGCUUUCGCUUGAAUACAUUAGCAUGGAAUAAUGAAAUAGGACGUUUGAUCCUAUUUUGUUGGUUUCUAGGAUUGACGUAAUGAUUAAUAGGGAUAGUUGGGGGCAUUAGUAUUCAAUUGUCAGAGGUGAAAUUCUUGGAUUUAUUGAAGACUAACUACUGCGAAAGCAUUUGCCAAGGAUGUUUUCAUUAAUCAAGAACGAAAGUUAGGGGAUCGAAGACGAUCAGAUACCGUCGUAGUCUUAACCAUAAACUAUGCCGACUAGGGAUCGGAUGAUGUUAAUUUUUUAAUGACUCAUUCGGCGCCUUACG
rnacentral:rRNA from 1 species